rnacentral:rRNA from 1 species
CGGGGAAUUUUGGACAAUGGGCGAAAGCCUGAUCCAGCAAUGCCGCGUGUGUGAAGAAGGCCUUCGGGUUGUAAAGCACUUUUGUCCGGAAAGAAAUCCUUGGCUCUAAUACAGUCGGGGGGAUGACGGUACCGGAAGAAUAAGCACCGGCUAACUACGUGCCAGCAGCCGCGGUAAUACGUAGGGUGCAAGCGUUAAUCGGAAUUACUGGGCGUAAAGCGUGCGCAGGCGGUUUGCUAAGACCGAUGUGAAAUCCCCGGGCUCAACCUGGGGAACUGCAUUGGUGACUGGCAGGCUAGAGUAUGGCAGAGGGGGGUAGAAUUCCACGUGUAGCAGUGAAAUGCGUAGAGAUGUGGAGGAAUACCGAUGGCGAAGGCAGCCCCCUGGGCCAAUACUGACGCUCAUGCACGAAAGCGUGGGGAGCAAACAGGAUUAGAUACCCUGGUAGUCCACGCCCUAAACGAUGUCAACUAGUUGUUGGGGAUUCAUUUCCUAGUAACGUAGCUAACGCGUGAAGUUGACCGCCUGGGGAGUACGGUCGCAAGAUU